GAGUCUUGAGACUAUUAAUUCAAUGAAACUUUAAGGUAUCUUUUGGUGAAUAGAUACUCUUUAUCUUAAGAUGAGCCCAUGCCCUUUGCAGGCACAUGGAUGAAGCUGGAAACCAUCAUUCUCAGCAAACUAUCACAAGAACAGAAAACCAAACACCACAUGUUCUCACUCAUGAGUGGCAGUUGAACAAUGAGAACACAUGGA